rnacentral:sRNA from 1 species
UCGAAGACCAAAAGGCAUACGCGUGAAC